UUCAAAGUAUAUUUCCUGAACUGAGGCAUAUAAAUAUGAUCCUAUAAUGUUACUCAACACCAACCUCCCUGGAAAACGUAUCCACAGAUAGAAGAUAAAGAUGAAGCUGCUGAUCCUUUUAAUCACCAUAGCUGUUGCAGCUGCUAGUUAUAGUAAAAUCGGAAAAGGUUAUGGAGGAUAUGGUGGCAUGGGAGGUGGUGGAUACGGCGGAAUGGGCGGCAUGGGAUACGGCAGAAUGAUGUAUGGAGGCAUUAGAUAUGGAUACGGCGGUA